UACAGAGGUCUCGAGCGUUAGGCGGAAUCACUGGGCUUAAAGCGUGUGUAGGCGGAUCGUUAAGUGCCUUGUGAAAUCCCACGGCUCAACCGUGGAACUGCUUGGCAUACUGGCGGUCUUGAGCAACCUAGGGGCGAGCGGAACAAAUGGUGGAGCGGUGAAAUGCGUAGAUAUCCUUUGGAACGCCAAUGGUGAAAACAGCUCGCUGGGGGUUUGCUGACGCUGAGACACGAAAGCCAGGGGAGCAAACGGG
rnacentral:rRNA from 1 species